rnacentral:rRNA from 4 species
AGGGCGCACGGUGAAUGCCUAGGCACUAACAGCCGAUGAAGGACGUGACGAACUACGAAAAGCUUCGGGGAGCGGUAAGUACGCAGUGAUCCGGAGAUGUCCGAAUGGGGGAACCCAAUGCAGCGAUGCAUUAUUGGUUGAUGAAUAGAUAGUCAAUCAAAGGAAGACGCAGUGAACUGAAACAUCUAAGUAGCUGCAGGAAGAGAAAGAAAAAUCGAUUUCCUUAGUAGCGGCGAGCGAAGAGGAAAGAGCCCAAACCAAGUGAUUUAUCAUUUGGGGUUGUAGGACUGCAAAGUGGUAGCGUAAGCGAUAGUUGAAUUAUCUGGGAAGGUAAGCCAGAGAGGGUGAGAGCCCCGUAAGCGAAAUUGCGAGCGCGCCUAGCAGAAUCCUGAGUAGGCCGGGACACGAGGAAUCCCGGUUGAAGCCGCGAGGACCAUCUCGCAAGGCUAAAUACUAGUUAGUGACCGAUAGUGAACCAGUACCGUGAGGGAAAGGUGAAAAGAACCCCGGAAGGGGAGUGAAAGAGAACCUGAAACCGUGUGUCUACAAGUAGUCAAAGCACAUUAAAGUGCGAUGGCGUGCCUUUUGUAGAAUGAACCGGCGAGUUACGUUAUCUAGCGAGGUUAAGUCAGAAAAGACGGAGCCGGAGCGAAAGCGAGUCUGAAUAGGGCGAAGAGUUAGGUGACGUAGACCCGAAACCAAGUGACCUACCCAUGGCCAGGCUGAAGGUGUGGUAAAACGCACUGGAGGGCCGAACCCACGUAAGUUAAAAAUUGCGGGGAUGAGCUGUGGGUAGCGGUGAAAUUCCAAACGAACUUGGAGAUAGCUGGUUCUCUCCGAAAUAGCUUUAGGGCUAGCCUCGUGGAGAGGAUAAUGGAGGUAGAGCUCUGUUUGGACUAGGGGCCCGUCAGGGGUUACUGAAUCCAGAUAAACUGCGAAUUCCAUAUAUCCAUACACGGGAGUCAGACUGCGAGUGAUAAGAUCCGUAGUCGAAAGGGAAACAGCCCAGAUCACCAGUUAAGGUCCCCAAAUCUAUGCUAAGUGGAAAAGGAUGUGGAGUUGCGUAGACAACUAGGACGUUGGCUCAGAAGCAGCCAUCAUUCAAAGAGUGCGUAAUAGCUCACUAGUCGAGUGGCGCUGCGCCGAAAAUUUACCGGGGCUAAGCAUAGUACCGAAACUGUGGAUGCAUCGAAAGAUGCGUGGUAGGAGAGCGUUCUAAGUGCGGCGAAGGUUAACCGAGAGGAUAAUUGGAGCGCUUAGAAGUGAGAAUGCCGGUAUGAGUAGCGAAAGACAGGUGAGAAUCCUGUCCGCCGAAAGACUAAGGUUUCCUGGGGCAGGCUCGUCCGCCCAGGGUAAGUCGGGACCUAAGGCAAGGCCGAGAGGCGUAGUCGAUGGAUAACAGGUAGAAAUUCCUGUACUGUGUUUAAUCGUUAUGAGCGAUGGAGGGACGCAGGAGGUGAAACACGCAUCGAGCUGGAUCGAUGUUCAAGCAACAAGUGCGGUUAAGAGUCAAAUGCUUCUAACCAGCAACACGAGUUGUGAUGAGUAGCGAAGUAAUAGUAGCGAAGGUGAUGUAAUCACACUGCCAAGAAAAGCUUCUAGCCAGAGAGGACACACCCGUACCGCAAACCGACACAGGUAGUCGAGUGGAGAACACUAAGGUGAGCGAGAGAACUCUCGUUAAGGAACUCGGCAAAAUGACCCCGUAACUUCGGAAGAAGGGGUGCUGGCCACGAGAGUGGUUAGCCGCAGUGAAUAGGCCCAAACAACUGUUUAUCAAAAACACAGGUCUCUGCAAAAUCGUAAGAUGACGUAUAGAGGCUGACACCUGCCCGGUGCUGGAAGGUUAAGAGGAGAGCUUAGCGAAAGCGAAGGUUCGAAUUGAAGCCCCAGUAAACGGCGGCCGUAACUAUAACGGUCCUAAGGUAGCGAAAUUCCUUGUCGGGUAAGUUCCGACCUGCACGAAAGGUGUAAUGAUUUGGGCACUGUCUCAACGAGAGACUCGGUGAAAUUAUAAUACCCGUGAAGAUGCGGGUUACCCGCGACAGGACGGAAAGACCCCAUGGAGCUUCACUGUAGCUUGAUAUUGAGUAUCUUUUAAACAUGUACAGGAUAGGUAGGAGCCAAGGAAGGCAGGACGCUAGUUUUGCUGGAGGCAAUGUUGGGAUACUACCCUUGUUUGAAGGAUGCUCUAACCUCGACCUGUAAGCCAGGUCAGGGACAGUGUCAGGUGGGCAGUUUGACUGGGGCGGUCGCCUCCUAAAGUGUAACGGAGGCGCUCAAAGGUUCCCUCAGAAUGGUUGGAAAUCAUUCGCAGAGUGUAAAGGUAUAAGGGAGCUUGACUGCGAGAGAAACAGCUCGAGCAGGGACGAAAGUCGGACUUAGUGAUCUGGUGGUACCGUAUGGAAGGGCCAUCACUCAACGGAUAAAAGCUACCCUGGGGAUAACAGGCUUAUCUCCCCCAAGAGUUCACAUCGACGGGGAGGUUUGGCACCUCGAUGUCGGCUCGUCGCAUCCUGGGGCUGAAGUCGGUCCCAAGGGUUGGGCUGUUCGCCCAUUAAAGCGGCACGCGAGCUGGGUUCAGAACGUCGUGAGACAGUUCGGUCCCUAUCCGUCGUGGGCGUAGGAAAUUUGAGAGGAGCUGUCCUUAGUACGAGAGGACCGGGAUGGACGCACCGCUGGUGUACCAGUUGUUCCGCCAGGAGCAUCGCUGGGUAGCUAUGUGCGGAAGGGAUAAGCGCUGAAAGCAUCUAAGUGCGAAGCCCCCCUCAAGAUGAGAUUUCCUUUGC